rnacentral:rRNA from 1 species
AACGUAGGAGACAAGCGUUAUCCGGAUUUACUGGGCGUAAAGCGCGUUAAGGCGGUUGGCAAAGUUGGUGGUGAAAUUUCAGGGCUCAACCCUGAAACUGCCUCCAAUACUGGUCGACUCGAGUGCGAGAGAGGAAGGUGGGAUUCCCGGUGUAGUAGUGAAAUGCGUAGAUAUCGGGAGGAACACCAGUGGCGAAAGCGGCUCACUGGACCACAACUGACGCUGAGGCGCGAAAGCUAGGGGAGCAAACAGG